CGCGGCCUAUCAGCUUGUUGGUGGGGUAAUGGCCUACCAAGGCAUCGACGGGUAGCUGGUCUGAGAGGACGAUCAGCCACACUGGGACUGAGACACGGCCCAGACUCCUACGGGAGGCAGCAGUGGGGAAUAUUGCGCAAUGGGGGAAACCCUGACGCAGCAACGCCGCGUGUGGGAUGACAGCUUUCGGGUUGUAAACCACUUUCAGUGAUGACGAAAAUGACGGUAAUCACAGAAGAAGGUCCGGCCAACUACGUGCCAGCAGCCGCGGUAACACGUAGGGACCGAGCGUUGUCCGGAUUUAUUGGGCGUAAAGAGCGCGUAGGCGGUUUUGUAAGUCGGAUGUGAAAACUCAGGGCUCAACCCGGAGACGCCAUCCGAUACUGCAAUGACUGGAGUCCGGUAGGGGAGCAUGGAAUUCCUGGUGUAGCGGUGGAAUGCGCAGAUAUCAGGAGGAACACCAAUGGCGAAGGCAGUGCUCUGGGCCGGUACUGACGCUGAGGAGCGAAAGCAUGGGGAGCAAACAGGAUUAGAUACCCUGGUAGUCCAUGCCGUAAACGUUGGGCACUAGGUGUGGGGUCUUCUAACGGAUUCCGUGCCGUAGCUAACGCAUUAAGUGCCCCGCCUGGGGAGUACGG
rnacentral:rRNA from 1 species